rnacentral:rRNA from 1 species
UUCUGUAAACUUUAGGUAGUACUGUAAAACUAUCAUACAAUGGCGGUCUUAGCUUUUUAGAGAAACUCGCUUUAUAAUCGAAAACACGCGUUAAUUUUAACUAAAUUUUAAAGCCUAUAUACCGCCGUACUCUAAAUAAUUAUUAUAAUUAAUUUUUCGCCCUUAAUAAAUUCACAAUCAGGUCAAGGUGUAGCCAAUAAUUCAGAAAAAGUAAGUUACAAUAAUAAACAAUUUAAGGAUAACUCACUAAAAUAUAAUUGAAAGAGAAUCUAUAAGUACACUAUAAUUAAAAAUUAAAAUAGAAUAGCCCCGCAAAGAUGC